rnacentral:snRNA from 1 species
UUGCUCUGGCCCCUUUGCAUUUAACCGAGAAAAUGUGUCGCCUUUUACUAAAGAUUUUCGUGCAAGGAAGCUGUUUAUGAGUAUUUCCCGAUUAUUGAAAUCUUCCAUAUUUGAGAACU